ACUUGCUUGCCCCGCUAUUCUCUGCCCCAGCCGCCAGGGCUCCAUGGGGUCCCAGCAGAGGAGCCCUGCAUGGUGGCCUCCUCCAGAGCAGAGGGAAGGAAGGGGAGCCCACAGUCCCGGGGGCUCACCUUUCUACUCUCCAAUUCGACACGCAGCCUAGGGGAGGGCUGUGGAGAGGGAGGAGCCCCGGGGGCUCCCUCGCGGUUUCCAUCCCCCCGCCCUCUCGCAAAGCUCCUGAACACAGACAGAGGUGUGGGGUAGGGACCCUGUCCCCUCGCCUAAGUGGCAGAAGCUGGUGGGGAGGCCUGAGGGCACAACCCUGAGGUGCCCCCAAACUCUAGGAGACACCAGCUUUGCAGAGGGAAAGGAGGCAAAGUCCCAGCAAAGGGGUGAGGGAACUGUCUGCAGGAGAGACGUCCCUCAGGAUGAUGCAGACAAAAGCUAUGUGGCAGGGGGUGCGUUCUCGAGGUGGGUGGACUCCAACUUGAGAGCUGGGGCCCUGCUCAGCGGUGCUGGGCUGGACAGAGACGAGCCGAGGCACAGCAGUCCGUACAGGAUCAGGAAAAGCAGGGCCACGGAGGCAGAAUACGGGCCAGCACCGUCAUCCCUGCCAGGUCUCCAGGUGGCCCACUCAGGCACUUCUGUGCAGGUGGGGCUGGGGAUAAAUACAUGUGCUGACCAGCCGACGGGAUCACUCUCUCAACUGGCAUUUGAAGAUAAGUAAGGGGAACUUUAGGGACCACGGGAAGCUCUUCUGGCACAGAACAGGGGUUUACACCAAGUACACGGCAUCUUUACCUCACGCCCAUCCCCCGGCCUAGAGCCGAGGGGCAGAAAGAAGGAGGCCGGGUGGGUGGAGUCUAUGUCCCUCCAGCAGAGCCUGCGGUCCAGAAGCCCCUUCUCCUCCUCAGGCCCCUGGGAGACUCGAGCUGUCCACUCGUCUCCAGGCCGGGCCCCAGCCCAGGACUGCAGCCUGGGCAGCAGGUAGGGCCAGCCCAUGCCAAAACGAGCUUCCACAGCUGGGACAGGACAAGGGAGUGCAGGUGACAAGACUGUGGGCCCCAGAGCACACAGCUUAGGGGGGAUGUGGGAAAACACGCAUGCACCUCCACCCCCAUCUGUCAUGGGCCAGGAUACCCUGCCCACCUGCUCUCUGUGUGGCCCUGCAGCCUCCCGGGGGAGGUCACCUCAGAGCCACGACUGCUCUGGCCCGACCACCCAGUGUGUGUCUGACUACCUCAGCCAAGGGGGUGGUGAGCACGCUCUGUGCUGGAAGAACAUAAAAACCAACCGCAGACAAUUCCACUGGCUUCGCUGAGCUCCCUGAGCAGUAAUCUUUUUUGCUAGUUGGUCAGUAAAUUCCCACUCCUGCUGAGAACAGAGAUGAAGGGACCUAAAGCAGGGCGGCCUGAGUUCGCUGCUCCCCAGAUGGAGCCACACACAGGGCUGGGCGGGGCCGGCCCGACCCCAGUGGGGCAGGUGGCCGCAGUGAGGGGCUGCUUCCGGGGUACGCAGGGCUCAGCUUGGCGGUGCCUUAUGCAAAGCCCAUCGCCCAAGCUGCUCGUGUCCUGAACUGAGAUGACCCGAGAGUGGCUGGCAAAGUGGCCAGGACUGCCUGAGAGAGGAAGUCACUGCCUUUGAGCUCUGAGCUUUGAAUGUGCUACCCGAGGUGGGAGCGGCAUCCAAGUCAUGAAGACUGAAGAAGAGCUCCUCAGAAACAGUCACCCUUGGAGCUCUGGGGUAAUGAAAGGUGGGGACUCUGGACCUCAGCUAAAGACUGUCUCACGCAGCACACCACUGCCUGCAGGAAGAACGGCAACAUUCGUAGUCCAGGCUAGGACGUGUGGGUGCCUGCAGAAAGUGCCAGAAUCUCUUGGUGUUUUCACCAUAACAGGCUUUUAUGUCAGGGCUGCUUUUAUGCCACUUAACCUCCCCAGCCUCAUUAAACAAAAGCCAACGUCUUCUCAUUUUGAUUCUGUCCUCAUUGGUGGAAUAACUAAUGACAGCGAUCUGUCUUCCCUAGGAGACCCAGCCCCUGCCUGGAGGAAAACCUCGCCGUAUCCUGGGCCACCCGCCGUACCUGUGGUCUGAUCCACGAGGACCCGGGAGUUGAUGAUCCGCCCGAACCGAGAGAACAUGUCCUCCACAUCCUUCUGGGUCAUGUUCCUCGGAAGCCCGCUGAUGUACAAGUUGGCAUCUUUGAUGACCUCUGAGCUCGGGCGAGCGUACGACACCUUGAAAACAAAACCGCUCACUGGCAUUAGGGCAGAUGUGUGGCCAAAGCAUCGAGGGAGGGUGUUAAACUUUCAGGUGAGAAAAAGCCAACCCUAUGGAAGGCGGUCAGCUGCAGCAGCCCGUGCUGGCAGCUCCCCAUGGGCCAGGCAAGGGCCCUCACACACCCUGAUGACAAGACAUUAUCCUUGUUUCACAGUCGAGAGCCUGAGGGUCCAUGGCUGUUCGGGGGCAGGGCAGGGAGCCAACCCCGGCUGGCUGUGCUCCUACCGUGGCCUCAGGCCUCUCUGGACAAUGAGCAGGGCUGGAAAGGGGACCUGGUCCUGCCUGUGAGGAGCCCAGGGGACAGCGGGCUGGGUGCUCUGGGACUGUGACACCCACCUGACAACAGGCAAGCUUGCCAUGGGAGCCCAGUGGGGCCCGAGUGCUGGGGGGUACACACAUAUUAUAUGACCCCAUGCUUUUUAGGCUUAUGUUCUGCAAAGCUGAAGAAAGGCUAAAAGGAGCUUGUGCAGUGGUUUAGAUAAAAGGGUGCGUGCGUGUGGGGCUGGUAGCAAGGAGAGGGUCUCUGGUGCUCUCCCAGGUUGGGGCGACAGCUGGGUGGACCCUGCCAGCCAAGGGGGCAGCACAAGGGCAAGACGACAGGUGUGUUCUCACCACAACACUCAGGCCUGCCAGGAAGGGCAAGGGUGUAACUCUACAUGCUAAGACCACACACUCACAUACACACACCCACCCCUUCAUUCAUGUGCUCGUUGACUCGCAAACAUUUGAGGUGCACCUGGGACAUUCCAGAAAAGGAGAAGACAGACGCCACCUUUGCCUGCAAAGCAGAAUGCAGUCUAGCGGGAGAGACGGCAGAUGGAAGGAGAAACAGCGUGGCGUGGUCAGAGCCCAACUCCACCCGAAGAGGAGCUGGGCUCAUGGAGGUGUCUCCAAGGACGUUGAUGGCCACUGCAGCUUUCCUUUGCUCUUCAGCCACUGUCAAGCUCAGAGUCAAAUCAGAAUCCAAGAAGACUGCACUAGAGAACCCUCUCACGGCAGUACGUGGGCCUCUCACUGCUGUGGCCUCUCCCAUUGCGGAGCACAGGCUCCGGACGCGCAGGCUCAGCCGCCAUGGCCCACGGGCCUAGCCGCUCCGCGGCAUGUGAGAUCCUCCCGGACCGGGGCAAGAACUCGUGUCCCCUGCGUCGGCAGGCGGACUCUCAACCACUGCGCCACCAGGGAAGCCCUACUGUCCUAUUCUUAGGAAACAUUCCUGUGAGAGGUUUUUGAAGAACAAGGAAUUUUUGAAUUACGUUCCCCCACAAAUUCACAUGUUGGAGUCCUAACCCUCAGUACCUCAAAAUGUGACCUCAUUUGAAACAGGAUCAUUAUAGAUGCGAUUAGUGAAGAUGAGGCCAAAGCGGAAUAAGAUGGCCCCAAAUCAAUGACUGAGGUCCUUAUAAAAAGGGGAAGUUUGGACACAGACAUGCACUCAGGGAGAACCCCGUGUGAAGAUGAAGGCAGAGACUGGGGUGAUGCUUCUAUAAGCCGAGGAUUGCCCAAGAUUCAGUGACCACCAGGUGCCAGAAGAGGGGCACGAAACAGAUCCCCCUUCACAGCCCACAGCCCUCCGAAGGCACGCAACCUGCCAACACCUGGAUCUUGGACUUCCAGCCCUCAGAACUAGGUGUGAGGAACUGGAAGAUGCAAAGGCUCAACAGGAUGAUCUCAUUCCAGUGGCUUCGGGUCGAGGGACACAACUCUGGUGACUCUGGCAGGCAUGUGUCUCAGGAAUGAGGGCUGACUCGCCAGUCUGCAGGUGAGGGGCAGUGGGCACAGUGCUGAGAGGCUGCUGCAGGAAGCCGGGUCAGGGUCCUGCGUGGGGCGGGGGUAGGAGGCAUAUUCUACAGGAGGGCUCGGCAGGGACCGAUGGUCGGGAAAACCCAAGGUUGGUCCAGGGGUAGGCAGAGCCUGAAGACAGACACUUGGGGUGGGGAGGAGGUGGGGCUCCGGGCUGAGAGAAGGAGGGCGUGGUUAGCAGUGGCAGGUUGAGAGGAGCGUGAAGGUUGGGGAAGCCACCCUGAGGCCUGGAGGACUCGCUGACUUGUCCCAGGAAGCCGCCACACAGCCCUUGAACUGGGAAUGAUGCUGAUGACGGUCUGCCCAAGGCCCUCCCAGCUGGUGCUGCAUGGCUCCCUCACUCUCCUCAAGUCAUCAUGAACCACCCCCCCAGGACACGGCACCCCUGGGACGCCUACCUCUGCCACACCUGGCUUUCAUUGUUUUGUUUAUCGUUUGUGCGCACGCACGCGCACACACACACACAGGCCCAGCCCCACAAGGGUAUGGAAUUUGUUUUGUUCACCGCGUGGCAUAUAGUAGGCACUCAUAAACAUUUGCCAAAUGAAUGCUCAAUGACUGGUGGGAGAAGGAUUACACCAGUGAUGGAACAGGAAUGGAAGCCUGGGCAGGAGGCGGGAGGGACGAUGCUGCUGCUGCCGCUGCCACCACCACAGCAACAACCGGGCGCGAGCAGGAGGGCAGGGCAGGCCCAACACCCGCUCAGCAUGAGGUCGGGAGCUGCAAGAGGACGGGAGCACCUUGGCCAGUAGAAGAGACCGGUGGGGAGGCCUUCGGAGGAGGCUGCUGUGAGCCAACAUACGAGGGACACCGGGGGCCAGGGAGAGGGAUGUCCCAGCCUAAGUCCUUCACGGAGACCCUCCCGUUGCUGGUGGGGCUGAGAAGGACAUGAGCCAGAGGCACAAGGCCUGGGACGGUCACCACCCGACACAUCUGACACGCAACGCCUCUCUUCUGAGCAGACAGGAGGCCCCCCAGAUGCCCUGGAAAAGCGGCAGGCCUCUAAGGCGCAACUGUGCUAAUGGUGCGGUGACGGUGAUGUGACGUAAGGGUUGGGGGGGGGGGUCUCUCACCCAGGCCAGGGCUCAGCACAGACCUCUGUGCAGCCAGGAAUGAACGAGAUGGUGAUUGCAGCUCCUUACCUUAAUGGUUUUUGACUGGAGCCGCAGGCCAUUCAGCGUGUUUAUCGCUCUCUCUGCAUCCUUUGCAGUCACGUAGUUCACAAAGCCGUAGCCCAAGCUGUGUCCUGUGUGGGAGAACACAGGGACAUGGGUGAGCCACUGAGAGCCAGUGAGUGAGCGAGACAGAGAGAUGGGGAGGAUGAACAGGACUAUGUCCGGCUGGGCUCAAAAGGACAAGAGCAGAGAGAAGACCGAGAGAGAACGCUAAGAGCCAAGGCCUCUGGGAAGGUGGGAGUUAGAGAUCAAUGGUUACAAUCUAUAUUGAUGGUUUAUUUGUUACACUCCCUUGGCCAACCUGUACAUUUUC